CAGUUGUCAAAUACACCUCUUUGCGUCAUUCUAUAUUCAUUGUAUUCGCCGCAAAUAUUCGUCGUUGACUUUGUUAAGAUUAGUUUAUUUUGAGUCGUGGAAGUGAAACAAAGUGUUAAAGUGUGAAAGUGGGGAUACUAAAUUGGUGUAGAAAGGUUUAUUUUGAAUGAAAAGUAAUAGUUAAAAAAUAGAAAAAUUAUAUAAGAAGCGAGGACGACGUAUGAGCAGUCUGGCAGCAAAAUGCUGGAAUCGCCCAAAUUCAUAGAUAAUGACAACUAUCAAGGCAGUCGAGCCUUCACUUGGCUGGCAGAUAUAUGUGGAUUAUCGGUAGAUUUGAUUAACUUUUUAAUAUGUCAAAUCGGUGCACUCUUCCUGGCCUCCUUGUUCCGCUCGAUACUGCAUCCUUCCAGAGUAUCAGCCCAUGUGCGUCACAUUUUCGCGCUAACUGUGGGCUUGGCAUUUGGCUACUUUUGCUUUGGUCCACAAGCCAUACAUAUUGCUGGGCUUCCAUCCGUUUGCUACAUUGUCAUACGUACACAGGAUCCGCGGGUGGUGCAGCGAAAUGUCAUGCUCGUCGCCAUGACAUACCUGUUGUGCAUCCAUCUGAUUAGGCAGAUCUACGACUAUGGCUCCUACUCGCUGGACAUCACCGGUCCACUAAUGAUAAUUACACAAAAAGUGACAAGCUUAGCGUUCAGCAUACACGACGGCUUUGUGCGCCAGCAUAAGGACCUCACAAAAGCACAGCAAUACCACGCCAUUUAUAAGGUUCCCUCGGCGCUCGAAUAUUUCUCAUACGUCUUACACUUUCAAGGGCUAUUGGCGGGCCCAUUGGUAUUCUACAAAGACUACAUUGAAUUUGUUGAAGGCUACAACCUCCUCAAGCGACCAUCGACCAAUGGCAAUUUAGAUAAUGGCAAGUCAGAGUUGGUGCUGGAGCCCUCCCCCGUCAAGGCGGUUAUCAAAAAGGUCAUAGGCAGUAUGGUGUGUGCAUUUAUAUUUAUGAAAUUCGUGAAGAUGUAUCCUGUGAAGAACAUGAAGGACGAUGACUUUGUGGAGAGCAGCUCGAUGGCGUACAAGUUUUGGUAUGCCAUGAUGGCCACAUCAUGCAUACGCUUUAAGUAUUAUCACGCAUGGCUUCUAGCCGACGCCAUAUGCAACAAUUCGGGUCUGGGCUUCACCGGCUACGACAAGGAUGGCAACUCCAAGUGGGAUUUAAUAUCGAAUAUUAAUGUGCUGGGAUUUGAGUUUGCCACGAAUAUGCGCGACGCAAUCAACAAUUGGAACUGCGGCACAAAUCGUUGGCUGCGCACCAUCGUCUAUGAGCGGGUGCCCAAAAAAUACGGCACUGUAUUGACGUUCGCCUUGAGUGCAGUCUGGCACGGUUUCUAUCCUGGUUACUAUGUGACAUUCGCCACCGGCGCAUUGGUGGUAACGGCUGCGCGUGUGGCGCGUCGCAUGUUCCGCCAUCGCUUCCAACGCACCCAAUUCACGCGUAUGUUCUACGACAUACUCACAUGCCUAACUACACGCCUAGUAAUGGGUUAUGCAACAUUCCCAUUUGUUCUACUUGAAUUCAUGGGCAGCAUUAGAUUGUACCUGAAAUUUUAUUUGUGUUUCCAUAUAGCAGCAUUGGUCACCAUAUUUAUUUUACCCAAAUAUAUACGCGGCGAACAACGCCGUGAGCGUACCCCACAAAAACAACACAAUCCAAGUGAAGAAGAUAUCAAGUCCAACAACUUCAGUGCCGCCUCAUUGCCGGCGGACAACACAGCUGUACGGGACGUUCUUAAUGACAUCACAGCAAAAAUACCUCAAGGCAAUAGUAACGAUCUCAACGACGACGAUAAUAACCUCAGCGCUCCAGCGCCCAAGUCGAGCAUCAAUGCACCACAACCGCCGCCUCUUCUGCCCACUGUGGCAUGUGCACGCGAAGCGGUCAGCGUCAAGCACGAAGAGUGCGAAAUGGAUCAAUUAGGCAAUAAGAUCAAGGAGAAGAUUGGAACGGAGACGAAGAAUAUUGAAGAGUUCAUUGAUAAGACUGUAGCGGAAACGGUUAGCGGCAUCGUUGAGUUGAAGAACGAUCUGAUGCGCAAUCGCGACUUUCCCACAAUACCCAUAUCACAAGAAGGCCUACGCAAACGUGUUGGAAUCGGUGCAAAUGUGACAGCUGCAGGCGGCGGCAGCGGCAACGAGACUAUUGACAAAAUAGUAAGCGGUGUUGAAGAGAGUGGAGCCUUUCUGAAAAAAGAAAUCGAAGUGAUCAAUGCAGUGGUGCAACAAGCAAACGUCUUGCCAGCAGUGCUGAGCAACGGCCAUGCUAAAUAGUAAUGAAUGUCACCAACAGUUAAAGUAAUGAGUUGGAGUUGUGCGACAGCGAAGGCAACGAAGACGACGAGAAAGUGGGUGGGGUGAGAUACAAGCUAUUGACAGCGGUGAAAACUUAAAUAUUAACGGGCAAGAGGAAGGCGGAAAGUUUUCAACAGCAAUGACAUGAAAUUACUAAAGAGAGAAGUAAAUGCAAAGUAAAGGCUUUUUUAUACUGGAAAAAGCACAACAAACAUAUUGGAAGGUAUGAUGCAAUGCGAGCAAAUAAGAAAUGAAACCACAAACAACCAUGGGUUAAGACUAUAUUUCAAAGGGAUUGAAAUCGAAGAAAGCUACAACUGAACACUUUCACCACUUUAGAGUUUCAUUAAUAUGUAUGUAUGUGAGUGUAUUUGCUAUGCUUGAUUGAAAUUGGAAAGUUUUGUGUGUAUAAAAUAUUUAUUGAAGAUUUAUUUUUUACCAUUACCUAGUUCGAAUUCCAAACUAUAGCUGAAUUCACGCCAAUAUGGAUUAUACUUUCUCAACAGACUAACUAACUUAUAAAUAAAACAAUAGUCAAGUUUGUUGAUUGAACUCUGAGAGCUAGGUCUGAUGUUAUAAGCAUUGCCAUUGUUUUUACCGACUGUGAACUUACUGUUACUUGCCGAAACUCAGAUGUUAUUGCCUAUUGAGUUGCGCCUAAAAGAUACUAUUUAAAAUCGGCCUAUUUUCAACACAAAUGCCAAUGUCUAGCUUACUUCUUAUAAUUUGAUUAUACACUUGCAUAUGUUCGUCUAUUUACAAUAAAAACUUAAAACACAUUUGAAUCACAAACUUCCAUUAAUUGUCCGCCAAUUUUUUAUAAACUUAACUAUAUAUACAUAAAUUUUGUACAAGGGUAAAUGUAAUAUCCGCACAAUUCUAAGGCAACAACUACUAAGUUUAGACAAACAAUUUAGUAGAAACAUGAAUAAGUAAUUAUGUAGUUGAUUAUCCGAUUCAAUGUUAUAUGUAAAUGUUUUCCAGCCUAUGAAAUUGAAAAUGUCUUAAAAUAACUUAAGUGCAUUUGUGGAAAUGCAGUGCUAAACCAAAGGGUAAUAUACACAAAUAUAAAUAUUCACAAACAACGCAAAAAGAAUCAGCAACAUACAGUUUUACAAGAUAACUCACAAUUUUUAGACUGAAAAAAAAAACAAAAA